rnacentral:rRNA from 1 species
UACGUAGGGGGCAAGCGUUGUCCGGAAUCAUUGGGCGUAAAGCGCGUGUAGGCGGCCCGGUAAGUCGGCUGUGAAAGUCCAGGGCUCAACCCUGGAACGCCGGUGGAUACUGCCGGGCUAGAGUCCGGAAGAGGCGAGUGGAAUUCCUGGUGUAGCGGUGAAAUGCGCAGAUAUCAGGAGGAACACCGAUGGCGAAGGCAGCUCGCUGGGACGGUACUGACGCUGAGACGCGAAAGCGUGGGGAGCAAACGGGAUUAGAAACCCG